GUGCUCGCUUUGGCAGCACAUAUACUAAAAUUGGAAUAACACAGAGAAGAUUAGCACAGCCCCUGCACAAAGAUGAUAUGCAAAUUCAUGAAGCAUUCCAUAUUUUA
rnacentral:snRNA from 1 species